GAUGAAGAACGCAGUGAAAUGCGAUACGUAAUGUGAAUUGCAGAAUUCAGUGAAUCAUCGAGUCUUUGAACGCACAUUGCGCCCUCUGGUAUUCCGGAGGGCAUGCCUGUCCGAGCGUCAUUGCUGCCCUCAAGCACGGCUUGUGUGUUGGGCUCCGUCCCCCGAUCCCGGGGGACGGGCCCGAAAGGCAGCGGCGGCACCGCGUCCGGUCCUCGAGCGUAUGGGGCUUUGUCACCCGCUCUGUAGGCCCGGCCGGCGCUUGCCGAUCAACCAAAUUUUUAUCCAGGUUGAACUCGGACCAGGUAGGGAUACCCGCUGAACUUAAGCAUAUCAAUAAGCGGAGGA
rnacentral:misc_RNA from 1 species